UACGUAGGGUGCAAGCGUUGUCCGGAAUUAUUGGGCGUAAAGAGCUCGUAGGCGGUCUGUCGCGUCUGCUGUGAAAACUCGGGGCUUAACCCCGGGCCUGCAGUGGGUACGGACAGACUAGAGUGCGGUAGGGGAGACUGGAAUUCCUGGUGUAGCGGUGAAAUGCGCAGAUAUCAGGAGGAACACCGGUGGCGAAGGCGGGUCUCUGGGCCGUAACUGACGCUGAGGAGCGAAAGCGUGGGGAGCGAACAGG
rnacentral:rRNA from 1 species